ACUAAUCACGAUGGAUAUCUUGGCUCUUGAAACGAUGAAGAACGCAGCGAAAUGCGAUAGGUAAUGCGAAUUGCAGAACUCUGUGAGUCAUCAAAUCUUUGAACGCACAUUGCACUUCCUUUGGGAGUAUACUUGUUUGAGUAUUGGUAAUCGGUUCUAACGAUGGUUGAAGAUUGGCUGUGUGGAACAGCUGAAAGGGAAGAGUGGAAUGAAUUGGGUGGGUGCCAAAUUCAUCUCUAUGAAGUCGGCGUUUUACAAAGACGCAAACCCUAAUCUCAAAUCAAGUAAGAAGACCUGCUGAAUUGAAGCAUCUAACUAAGCAGAGGAAAAGAAAAUAACAAUGAUUCCCUUAGUAACGGCGAGUGAAGUGGGAGAAGCCCAAGCCAAAAUCACUGUAAAGUGAGUUGUAGUGUGAAGACUGGUGUGAAGGUGAAGAAGCAUCGAAUUUGAUUGGAAAGUCAAGUCAUAGAAGGUGAAAACCCUGUAAGAUGCGUCUCUUCACCCCUAAAAUACCAGUUCGUGGAGUCGAGUUGUUUGGGAUUGCAACUCGAAGUUGGUGGUAAACAUCAUCAAAGGCUAAAUAGUGUCAAGAGACCGAUAGCGAACAAGUACCGUGAGGGAAAGAUGAAAAGAACUUUGAAAAAAGAGUGAAAUAGUACUUGAAAUCGUGGUUAGGUUAAGCGCAGAGGCUGAGUGGUAUUGUAGAACUUGUGUCCUUUACAGUUGUGAAGGGUUUAAGUUGUAUGAUAGGUGUUUGUGGUGUUUGUCUCCUCCAACCUAGAGGGGGAUGAGCACCCCACACACAAAAUCAACCUCUUCGUCCCGUCUUGAAACACGGACCAAGGAGUCUAUCAUGGAUGCGAGUACGUUGGUGUCAAACCAAAGUGCGUAAUGAAAGUAAAUCGUGUGAUCAUUGAAAGAUGCGCAACAUGUGCCGAUCUGGAUUCUGUGAAGAAAGAUUCGAGUAAUAGCAUUUAUGGUGGGACCCGAAAGAUGGUGAACUAUGCCUGAAUAGGACGAAGCCAGGGGAAACUCUGGUGGAGGUUCGAGUGGAUUCUAACGUGCAAAUUGAUCUUUAAAUUUGGGUAUAGGGGCGAAAGACUAAUCGAACCAUCUAGUAGCUGGUUCCUUCCGAAAUUUCCCUCAGGAUAGCUGCAACUUAUGAAAUAGUUUUAUGAGGUAAAGCGAAUGAUUAGAGGCUUCGGGAAUGUACUAUUCUUGACCUAUUCUCAAACUUUAAAUGGGUAAGAAGCAGUUGAUGUUUAGUUAAUCAGCUGUGAUGAAUAUGAGUUGCAAGUGGGCCAUUCCGGGUAAGCUGGACUGGCGAUGCGGGAUCAACCGAACGCUAUGGUACGGCGCCUGAUUAUUCGCUCAGUAGGACGUAAAAGGUGUUAGUUCAUCUAGACAGCAGGACGGUGGCCAUGGAAGUCGGAAUCCGCUAAGGAGUGUGUAACAACUCACCUGCCGAAUGAAGUAGCCCUGAAAAUGGAUGGCGCUCAAGCGAAUAGCCUAACCAUAGCCAUUCAACUUAGUCGUAAAGUUGAAUGAGUAGGAAGGCGUGAUGGAGGUAGAGAAGACUAGCGUGUGAACGCAGUUGGAACGUCCAUUAGUGCAGAUCUUGGUGGAAGUAGCAAAUAUUCAAAUGAGAUCUUUGAAGACUGAAGUGGAGAAAGGUUCCAUAGGAAUCGUGAUGAUCUAUGGGUUAGUCGAUCCUAAGAGAUAGGUGAAAUCCAUUGAAAGGAUGACGUUAGUCAUCGUCUAUCGAAAGGGAAUCAGGUUAAUAUUCCUGAACCAAUAGAAGUGUGUCGGUAACGGUAUUGGGAUUGAAGACAUUGAUGGUACUCCUGGGAAGAGUUGUCUUUUCUUGUUAACAAAUGGCAGUCCUUGGAAUAAAUUCAGUUUGCGAGAAGGAUUGUGGUUUGGUAAAGGUUCCUGCUUGUUGGGAGCUCUGGUGCAGUAUCAGCAGUCCUUGAAAAUUCAAUCUCAACGUAACUUCUAUUGUUCGUACUCAUAACCGCAUCAGGUCUCCAAGGUGAAUAGCCUCUAGUUAAUAGAAUAAUGUAGGUAAGGGAAGUCGGCAAAUUAGAUCCGUAACUUCGGGAAAAGGAUUGGCUCUGAGGGCUAAGCAGAAUGAGUAUUGGUUAGGAAACGGCUUGUGGUGCAUGGGUUUGUUGUGCUUUCGGGUGUGAUGAAUGUGUGUACUAUGAAAAGGGCCUUAGCUUCUACUUCCCUGCAAUGAAUAGCUAACUCAGAACUGGUACGGACAAGGGGAAUCCGACUGUUUAAUUAAAACAAAGCAUUGUGAUGGUGUGAAAGAUAUGUUGACACAAUGUGAAUUCUGCCCAGUGCUCUGAAUGUCAAAGUGAAGGAAUUCAACCAAGCGCGGGUAAACGGCGG
rnacentral:rRNA from 1 species